rnacentral:lncRNA from 1 species
AAGGGACCAACUGGAGGACAAUGAGAGGGAGCUGACUUGAUGUGACUCUUGUUUUAUGGGCUCCAUCUACCUGCUGUGUUGAGAAUAGACAGCAAGGUGCCAGGGUCGAGGUAGGGAGACCAGUGCAGAGGACAUCACAAUAAAUCUGGGGAGAGACGAUGAUAGAUAGCUCAGCACAAGAGGUUGAGAAAGGUUUGGAUUUCAGAUACAUUUAAUGUAGAGUCAGUAGGGCUUCUUGACUUCGGGAAUCUGAGGUAGGACAGAAGACAAAAAGCUAAAAAUGAUACCAGAGUUUGGCCUGACCACCUGGAAGAAUGGAGCUGCCCUUCACUAAGGUAGGGAGCAAUGCUGGAGGAAGAGGGGGAGUUCUAUUCAGGAUAUGCUACGUUUAUCCUAUUAGAGGGGACAGUUGGCCAUGUUGGUAUGAAGUUCAGGGAAGAGACCCAACUGAAGAUGUAAAUUUAGGAGUCUUUGGCACAAAGAUAGUAGAUGAAGUCUUGAGCCUGGAUGAGCUCACCAAGGAAACAUGUACAGAGAACCACAAAACCCAGGGCCAGGGGCCUCCAACUCCAUAAGUCUGAGAAAAGCUGAGCAACCACCCCAGGAGAAUGAGAAGUCAGAGGAGAAGGACCAGGACAAGAGGCUACCAUCUCCUUCUCAGACGCCAAGGAAGGAAGUGCCUCAGGGAGAAGGCAGUGACCCCCUGAGUCCAACGUCACUGGUCACUGGUGGCUCAGGUAGGAGCAAGACUUAGAAUUGACCAUUGUGUUUAGCAAUGGGGAAAUCACUGGACACUCUGAGAAGGACCCUUUAUAUAGAGUGAUAAGCACGAAAGACUCAUUUGAAUACCUUUAAGAGAAAACAGGAGCAGAAGAAUUGGAGACAGGGAAUUUCUGCUGCAGUGUUGCAGAGAAAAGAGGUGGUGCUAAAGAGAAGAAGGGCCAAAGGAAGUGAAACGUUAUUUUUUCUUAA